CUAACUUUUAAUUUUUUUUUUAUCUAGGUAUAAAGCUAGGUCUCAAGAUUAAAAACAACCAACAACUACAACAAGGAAAAUAAGAAUGCAAGAUUAAGAUCAAACAACAAUUACAGCAAGGAAAACAAGGGAAGAUGACUGCUGAAAGACAACGUAAAGGUGAAUACAGCUUCAUUAAGGAUUUGAAGUUAUAUCAAGAAUCUUUCUCAAUCAAAGUGCUUAUACUAAAAGUGUCCUUGGAGCAAUUCUCAUCGUCAAAAGGUUCAGGUCAUGUUCAAAAGAUUAUUUUGAUUGACGAAGAGGGAACAAAGAUUCAAGCCACACUAUUCAAUGCUACAAUAGCAACAUUUGAGGAAUACAUCCAUCUCAACAAUACCAUUAUCAUCAAGAAUGGUAUAGUCAGGCCUAUAAAUAGGAAAUAUGCAUCGGUGAAUCCGAAUUUUGAGCUUA